AGCUUUGCGCAGUGGCAGUAUUGUAGCCAAUGAGGUUUAUCCGAGGAGCGAUUAUUGCUAAUAGACUUCCUUAUUCUGGAUAUUUCAUAUACAAUAUGCGUUUUUUUUGUGAGUGGCUUAUUUCA
rnacentral:snRNA from 1 species